UACGAAGGGGCUAGCGUUGUUCGGAAUUACUGGGCGAAAGCGCACGUAGGCGGCGCAGCAAGUCAGGGGUGAAAUCCCGGGGCUCAACCCCGGAACUGCCUUUGAUACUGGGUAUCUCGAGUCCGAGAGAGGUGAGUGGAAUUCCGAGUGUAGAGGUGAAAUCGUAGAUAUUCGGAGGAACACCAGUGGCGAAGGCGGCUCACUGGCUCGGUACUGACGCUGAGGUGCGAAAAGCGUGGGGAGCGAACAGGA
rnacentral:rRNA from 1 species